rnacentral:lncRNA from 1 species
UUUAAAUGAAAAAUUACACACACACAUACACACAAGCCUGGAAAGCUAACAAUAUACAAUUAAAUGUUAAGUGUUUCUUCUGGAUGGUGAAGGGAUGGAUGGCUGAUGGGCUAGCGAUAUGUGGCGUGGUACCCUCUCUUGAUGCUGGGCAGUGGCGGUGAGCACAGCUCCCAGUUAGCCAUGCGAUCAUCAGGAUAUGUGUGACUCAGGACACCAUGUUGUCAGAUCUUCACCAUCCUAAGCACAAUGUAACAACCCAUAAUGGCUAAGUAGUGUCCCGGUAACAUGGAGGAAUGAAAAAGUUGUGUAAAUGGCAUCAAGAUUGUCUUAAGAUUAUCAAGCUAAUAGAAGCAAUAAACAUCACCAGUUGUUUUAGGAUUUAUUCUUCAAGGGAGGGUUUGCACUUAAAGGGACAUUAUCUCUUCCAACUAAUACCAAUGAACAAGAGUAAUGAAACAAAGAGGCAUAAUUUCUACCACCAGAAAACUCUUACAUAUGUAGUUUUUAAAAUGUACACUAUGCAGUAAAAGAUACGAAAUCCAAUAUUAGACUAGGUAUGUAAAAUCAGAAAUAUUUUUCUCCAGAGACCCAGAGAACUUGAGGUAGUCAUUGUCCUCAAAGCCCUUUGCACAUCAAGAUAUGCAAGGUCCAACUGCUUCACUUGGAAUUCAAGUCUUCCAAAAUAUAGUCCCAGCUUUAUGUGCUACUAAAGAUCUGCAUUCAACCUUUCAAGGUCCUUAACACUGAUAUGAUUAUGAUGUCUCACCUCUAUCCUCCAUAAAUAUAAAACAGGAUCACAAGCAUAGGCAACAAAAACAACACUAGACAAAUGGGACUAUGUUGAACUAAAUAGCUUCUGCACAGCAUCUACACACAAUCAACAGUGUGAAGAGACAGCCUGGUGAAUUGGAGAAAAUAUUUGCAAACUAUUAAUGUGACAAAGGACUAAUAUCCAGAAUGUACAAGGAACUCAAACAACCCAACAGUUGAAAAAAAACCCAUAUAAUCCCAUUAAAAAGUGAGCAAAGGACAUGAAUAGACAUUUCUCAAAAGAAGACAUACAAAUGGCCAACAGGUACAUGAAAAAAUGCUCAACAUCACUAAUCAUCAGGGAAAUGCAAAUCGAAAUCCACAAUGAGACAUUUUCUUACCCCUGUUAGAAUGGCUACUAUUAAAAAGACAAAAAAAAAAUAGUAACAGAUGCUGGCAAGGAUCUGUUGGUGAGAAUCUAAAUUAGUACAGCCAUUAUGGAAAACAGUACGGAGAUUUCUCAAAAAACUAAAAAUAGAACUACCAUAUGACCCAGCAAUCCCACUAUGGGGUAUUUUUCUAAAGGAAAGGAGUUCAGUACAUCACAGCAUACCUGUGCUCUCAGUUUACGACAGCACUAUUCACAAUAGCAAAGAUAGGGGAUCAACCUAAGUGUCCAUCAAUGGACAAAUGGAUUAAAAAUGUGAUAUAAAUACACAAAUAGAAUACUAUUUGGCCAUAAAAAAGGAAUAAAAUCUUGUCAUUUGUAGCAACAUGAAUGGAACUGGAGGUCAUUAUGUUAAGUGAAAUAAGGCUGUCAGAGAAAGACAAACAUUGCAAGUUCUCACUCAUAUAUGGAAGCUAAAAAAAGUUGAUCUUAUGGAGGUAGAGAGGAGAAUGAUAGAUACCAGAUGCUGCGAAGGUGUGCUGGUGGGGAAGGGGAUUAAGAGAGUGCUUAGUUGGUGGGUACAUACAGUUAGAUAGGAGGAAUAAGUUCUAAUGUUCUAUACCACAGUGGGGUGCUAUAGUCAGUAACAACGUAUUGUCUAGUUCAAAAUAGCUAGAAGAGAGAACUUGACAUGUUCCCAACAUAUAAAAAUGAUAAAUACUUGAGGUGAUGUCUACCCUAAAUACCUUGACUUGAUCAUUCCACAUUCCAUGCAUGUAACAAAAUAUCACAUGUACUCCAUAAAUAUGUACAAAUAUGUGUAUCAAUUGAAAAAAGGAAAAAAAAUAACAUAAAUGUAAGGAAGUCCAACUGUGUUCUGAUUUUGCCCAUAAUGUUUUCUUGAUACGUUUUUAAAACAUCAAAUAAUAAAUUUAUAAACAAAAUAUUUUGUUAAAUGAGCACUGUCCACUAUAACCCUCCACUUGGUCCAGUCUGAUUUCUAUCCCAAGCUCAAGAUUUUGUGAGCUCUUGGGCUUUCUUCACGCCUAGAAUCUCCCUCUCUCUCUCUCUCUGUCUCUCUCUUUUUCUACUCUGGAAAUACAGCUCCUAACUUUUACUUAAGGCCUUGGUCAAUUUUCAGACCAGCAUCUACCACCAAGACCCUUCCCCAACAAGGAUGCCUCCAUUGAUUACUCCUACAGGGAAAGCUCUGUGAUCUCCUGGAGAAACUGGUAUCCACAUCUCUUAAUAACAUGCCACUGGCUGGGCGCGGUGGCUCAUGCCUGUAAUCCCAGCACUUUGGGAGGCCGAGGCAGGCAGAUCACCAGGUCAGGAGUUCGAGACCAGCCUGACCAAGAUGGUGAAACCCCGUCUCUAAUAAAAAAAUACAAAAAUUAGCUGGGCAUGGUGGUGGGCGCCUGUAAUCCCAGCUACUCAGGAGGCUGAGGCAGGAGAAUCACUUGAACCUGGGAGGUGGAGGUUGCAGUGAACCGAGAUCAUGCCAUUGCACUCCAGCCUGAGUGACAGUGUGAGAUUCCACCUCAUAAAAAAAAAUAAUAACAUA